AACUCCAGGCAAUUCUUCUUGUGUGUUAUUGGCCUCUCAUCUGCAAUAGUGCAUCUCACACCUGGCACACAGUAAUCCUAUAGAGACCACAGUAUGUUUAUGAAGAAAUGCUUUUACCAACCAAUGUUACUAUCUUGGAGUAAAGGAAAUUGAAAGACCCAUGAUCAGUUUCCAUCAUACUACAUAAGAGCAAGGAGAAAGGCGAUUUGGAAGGA